CCUACGGGAGGCAGCAGUGAGGAAUAUUGGUCAAUGGGCGAGAGCCUGAACCAGCCAAGUCGCGUGAGGGAGUACUGCCCUAUGGGUUGUAAACCUCUUUUGUCGGGGAGCAAAAGCAGGACGUGUCCGGCUGUGAGAGUACCCGAAGAAAAAGCAUCGGCUAACUCCGUGCCAGCAGCCGCGGUAAUACGGAGGAUGCGAGCGUUAUCCGGAUUUAUUGGGUUUAAAGGGUGCGCAGGCGGAUUUUUAAGUCAGCGGUAAAAUCGUGGGGCUCAACCCCAUCCAGCCGUUGAAACUGGGGAUCUAGAGUGUGCGAGAGGUAUGCGGAAUGCGUGGUGUAGCGGUGAAAUGCAUAGAUAUCACGCAGAACCCCGAUUGCGAAGGCAGCAUACCGGUGCACAACUGACGCUCAGGCACGAAAGCGUGGGUAUCGAACAGGAUUAGAUACCCCGGUAGUC
rnacentral:rRNA from 1 species